CACACAAAUCCCUCUCUUAUCCUCCCGAGCUUCCUCUCUGAACACAACUCAAUUUCUCCUCUUCUCUUUGAUGCUCCUUUCAUUCUCCUUCCUCUCCCUCUCGAGCUUUCUCUCUCGAUCUCUCUCUUUGAAAAUCAACUCCAUCUUUUAUUUCAAUUUCUUUCUUUCUUCCUCUAUUUCAAUCGUCUUGACGACAGACUCAAUUUCUCUUCUCUUUAUCCAUUUUCAACCCUUUGUUUUUCAUCCUGAGGAGGAGCUAAGACGCAAUAUAAAAAACUUAACUUGACUCCGUUGAAAGCUUUGUUGAUAUGGUUUAAAAAAAAAAAAAAAAAAAAAAUUGUUUACGUCUCUUUCUUUCUCUUCAACUUGAAAGCUCUAUUUUUUUUUCUUGUUGUUCACAAACAACACCAGAUCUAGAAGUUUUAGUAUAGAACCGAGAAAAUCCAACACCUAUGUUUUUUGUGUAAUAACAUAUCUAUAUCUAUUCAUUUAGAUCUUUUAGUUUUCACUUUAUUUUUUAGAUUUGUUCUUUGGACCAUCAGGUCGAUAUGGGAGUUUGCUUCCGCACUUAAUUUCUUGCAUGGCUCUUUUGAAUAUCUUCAUGAAGUUCUCUGCCAAGGAGAAGCGCUGAAAGCCUGAAUGGUUGCCAAACAUUGGAUGGAAGCUCUUAUUUCCAACGACUUGUCCAUAACGUUGAAAAUACUAUUUUUCAACGAUGUAGUUGUCAACGCAAAUAAGGAAAUCUGCUGUUACAAAAAAGGCUCCACCAGGCCACACAAACUGAUGUAAAUACUCUAAUGCGGCUUUAUUUCCUCCUUGCAAAUACUCAUAUGCGGCUUUUAUUUUCACCUUGCAAAUACUCUUAUGCAGCUUUAUUUACUCCUUGCAAAUACUUAUAUGCAGCUUUUAUUUCCACCUUGCAAAUACUCUUAUGCGACUUUAUUUCCUCCUUGCAAAUAAUGUUGGAGCCCUGGGAUUUAUAGGUUGUGAUCAAGCAGGCAAAAUAAUUCCUCUUGCUCAUUGAAUAAUCCCGACAUUUUAUAUUCAACGCAAUAGUCUAUAUAAGCGCUGCUAAAAGACUUUUCUGUCACAAGUUUGACCGCGCGCCCAGAACAUCAAUACACAAGAUGCAUCUAUUAAUGGCUGA